GCUCGACGAAUCCGCAGAGUGGGGUUGCGCAUUCAGGCUCACGCGCUCAUAUAGAAAGCCAUGUAGGGAACGCCACAAAGACACACAAAAUUAGGGUUGCCAACCGUCCCGAAUUGUCCGGGACAUCCCAAAUUAUGGGUGAUUUCGAUUUGUCCCGUCAGUGACAGCUCCAGUCCCGUAUACCAAUCACAGCCUCACCGGACAAUAGGCUGUAAACGCGCAAAAACUCACGCAAACGUUCCCAUGGGACACGAUUGUUGCUUUUUCGGGAUGGACUCCGGCCGCUGUUGAGCUCAUUGGCAGCCAGGUGAGACAGUAUCAGUCUCACGUGUGCUCUAAGACCUAGAUGAAUGUCCCGUUUCUGGCUGACCACAAGCAAACUGAGGUAUCGAUCAUGGAGGCCAGCAUGGUGGUGGGUCCAGAUGUGAUUCUGCGCACCACAGCCAGAACCUCCUGGGUGUCCAAAAAAACCCCAACCCACAGGGAGGACUAGACAGAGGAUGAGGACCAGGACUGCGACCUGGACUCCUCUGAGGAUGACUGGGAUGAGGAGGAUGAGGGCUGGACCGAGGAUGAGGACUAGGACCAGUUCCAGGAUCAGGAAAGAUACCAGUCCUAGAUGAGGACUUUGAUGAGCAGGACUCCCACUUGGAUCACACUAAGGAUUCUGGUUGUCCUUGUGACCAUGGCUUAGGAGCAUAUGUUGUUGAUGAUGGUUCGUUGACCUUUCUACAGGGUGGCUGCUCUCAGACAGGCCUUUACAGUGAGUACCUACUAGCUAGCUAGCUCCUGUGUGUUGAUGUUCUCUACAAUGAACAUCAACACACACAGUUUGCUAACUCCUGUGGUAGAAUUUAUUGCAUUAGCUAGUUAUUCUGAUCACCCAUGUUUGUCCCCAGAUUCGGUGUACUUAUCCUGACAGCAUAGAGUCCAUGUUGGAGGCAGUUCGCCUGCUACUAGGCAGGCUGGCAACUGAAGCACAAAAGGGGUCUUCAGUGACACCUUCAACCUCUCCCUCAACCUGUCUGUACCCCCCACUUGCUUCAAGAGGACCACCCUUGUCCCUUUGCCCAAGAACACCAAGGUCACCUGCAUGAACGACUAUCGCCCAAUAGCACUGACCUCUGUCAUCAUGAAGUCCUUUGAGCUGCUAGUCAAACAGGUCCAACAGGUCUACAGACGAUGCCAUAGCCCUGACCAUGUGUGACGGUAUGUAAUAGAUGUAGCCACGCUCCGUCACAACAAGGUGUCGUUCGCCACUCGCUGGGCUCGAACGCACAACCUCUGACUUGCCAAGUAAGACCAACUACGCCAAAGAAAAGCUAGCCUUUCGUUGACAUAGGUGGCAUUAUAUAUAACCCUACGGAGCGAGUUUCACAGUUCUCACUCUGUUACACUCACCCCUUUGAAACUCACUCAGGCAGUUAGCUGAUGCUAACCUAGUGAAUACGGGUCACGGCACCAAUGUGGCGGGAAUGUAACAGACGUGGCCACGCUCCGUCACCAAGGGUAUAGUCCGCCACUCGCUGGGCUCAAACCCUCGACCUCUGACUUGCCACUACCAACUACACCAAAGAAAAGGUAGCUCUUUGUUGACGCGGGUGGCUUGCUACAUACCUGAGGAGCGAGUUUCACGGUUCUCACUCCGUUAAACCUUCACACCACUCUCUCCCACCUGGACGAAGGGAAUAUGUAUGUGAGGAUGCUGUUCAUUGAUUACAGCUCAGCAU